AUGUUUGCCAGGCUGCUAAUGAGCUCUGAUGGGUGCCCUAAGCUGCUUCACCUGAGUCCCUCAUCCCCAGAGGUCCCCCUGGGAGCUGUGUCUCCUGCUCUUGGCUUCAUUUGGACUUGCCUCGGAAACUGGGCUGUUGCUGACCCUGGCUGUGACUCCCAGACCUGUUCAACAUUUGCCCAGGGAGUUUUACAGCUGGGCUGGGGCAGCCCCAGAGCCUCUGAAGAGCAAACCUGGGCUGGCUGCACUGCAGCACGCUCCUGCCUUGUCAUCACUGGCUUGGUCCUAGCCAGGAAGGCUAACCUUUGUGGGUUAAGGUCUUUAAAUGAUCUAAAAGAACACACCCAAGGCACAAAUGGCAGAUGCAUUCCACAUUUGCUGUCCUCAAAAUGAAGCAAGGAGUUCCAUGUGGAAGUUAAGGGUCGUCACGAUGCAACAGAUGGAGCUGAGGGUUGACCAUCAAGAAACAAUUCCUGCAAAACCCAGAAGGCGGUGGGAGGAGGAGUGAUAUUUGGAAGGCUGUUUGGCUCGAUGACAGGAGGGUUUUUAUGUUCCAGGGCUGACCUGUAGUUGUGCGAGUCCUGCCUGAUCAAAACUGAGAGUUGGGCUAUAUUUAUGGCUUAAGCAUAUUUAUUACUUGCUUGUAGUAGUUUUUUUUUUUUCCAAAGUUUUUCAUCACUGCUGUCACUGAUGGUGCUGUGCUAAUAAAUAUAUUCAUGUAGAGAGACUGGAUGUCA
rnacentral:lncRNA from 1 species